GAAAACACAUACUCAGGAGUGAAUAAGAUGAAUUCAGAUGCCUCAAAAGAAGAAAAGAAAGUAUAAAAAUCCACUGAUUUGUUAGCAUGUAUGUACAAGUUACUGCAUUUUCUUUUUUUUCUUUCUUUCUUCUUUCUGUUCGUUGAAUUUCUCUAAAAUAGAGAUAAACUAUUGAAUGAAUUUCUUAAAAAGGAUAUCCAUUAAUUUCUUUCACC
rnacentral:ribozyme from 1 species